AGAGUUUGAUCCUGGCUCAGAAUGAACGCUGGCGGCGUGCCUAACACAUGCAAGUCGAGCGGUAAGGCCCCUUCGGGGGUACACGAGCGGCGAACGGGUGAGUAACGCGUGGGUAACCUACCCAGAAGUGGGGGAUAGCCUCGGGAAACCGGGGGUAAUACCGCAUGUGUCCCAUCGAGCUGCGGCUUGAUGGGAGAAAGGCGGGGAUCUUCGGACCUGUCGCUUCUGGAUGGGCCCGCGUCCGAUUAGCUAGUUGGUGGGGUAACGGCCCACCAAGGCUCCGAUCGGUAGCCGGCCUGAGAGGGUGAACGGCCACAUUGGGACUGAGACACGGCCCAGACUCCUACGGGAGGCAGCAGUGGGGAAUUUUGGGCAAUGGGCGAAAGCCUGACCCAGCGACGCCGCGUGGAGGAUGAAGGCCUUCGGGUUGUAAACUCCUGUCAGGUGGGAAGAAGAACUCGGCAGCUAAUAUCUGUCGAGGGUUGACUGUACCACCAAAGGAAGCCCCGGCUAACUCCGUGCCAGCAGCCGCGGUAAUACGGAGGGGGCAAGCGUUAUUCGGAAUUACUGGGCGUAAAGCGCACGUAGGCGGCGAUGCAAGUCGUAGGUGAAAGCCCUCGGCUCAACCGAGGAACUGCCUGCGAAACUGCGUCGCUUGAGUCCGGGAGGGGGGAGCGGAAUUCCCAGUGUAGCGGUGAAAUGCGUAGAUACUGGGAGGAACACCGGUGGCGAAGGCGGCUCCCUGGACCGGUACUGACGCUGAGGUGCGAAAGCGUGGGUAGCAAACAGGAUUAGAUACCCUGGUAGUCCACGCCGUAAACGAUGGGCACUAGGUGCAGCGGGUGUCGACCCCUUCCGUGCCGAAGCUAACGCAUUAAGUGCACCGCCUGGGGAGUACGGUCGCAAGGUUAAAACUUAAAGGAAUUGACGG
rnacentral:rRNA from 1 species